AAAGACGUUGUACCCUUACUGGCCUCAGGUUUGGGAUCAAUUUAUCAAACUGUGAAACAAUUUCCAAGUGACAGCAUGGGUGGCUACGUGACUGCAGUUGCUGGUGGACUUGGUACACUUCCAUGCAUCCAGCCAGGGACAAGACAAUGAGCCCACGUGGAUUUAGACAGUUUAUUGUUUACAAGAACAGCAGAAGCAAGAUGGGCAAGAGGUCAAUUCCCUUGUCCCUCAUCCCACAGUCUGACUCUGACCUGGAGGGGUCAGAUGACAGUGUGAGCAGAGGGUCACUCAGUCGUUUAGGAGCUGCCCCCAUAUUACAGUCAAGCAAUAUUGUAGCCUGCAGAUGAGAAAGACCUCUCAGUGGCUUCUCCCAAGUCUUAGCUUCCCUGGCUCCAGGAGGAAUUGUAGGGCAUUCAGCCGAGACACAGGUUGGACUGCAGUUGAGCCUUGCUUAUGUGGCCUGCAUGGAUACGUGCAAGAUUUCCAGGGAGCUGUGCAGAGUCACAGCCCAUUCUCCACUCCGUUUCCUAAUGGAGAUCUGACACCCCUCCCUCACCCACCUUCAGAGCUUCCCUUCAUCCCUGGUCAGGUCCUGAUGGAGAGCGCACCCCUUAGUGCUGAGCACUCUCAUCUGGGAUUCCUCCCUCCUCGUCCCCACUUCUGUUCCAUCAGCACCUCUGUUAGCCCGAAGGUUGUUGCCCCAGCACCAAGCCGAGAAGUGAGCAAGGAGGAUUUGAAGCAUCAAGUCCACACCGAGGUGUGCUCAGUGGGAAAUCCCUCAGCCCUGACCAGCCAGCAAUUCCAAGACCCAGGGGUGAAGGGAGGUGCAGAUGCUGCUGUCUCUUGGAGCCUGCACCUCGGCAGAGGCUGAUUCCAGCUUGCAGUUCUCCACUACUUGCAGGUCAUGGAGGACAUUCAGGACUUGAACACUUACAAAAUCACCUUUGAAGUGGAGCCCUGUGUGUGCUGAGACCACUAGGACCCUGGAACAGGUGCCCGUCACACAGAGAGACUGUCAGCUUCAGAGGCUGGAAAUGGAAAUCCCAGGCCUACUUCAGGAGGGGAAAGCACAGACCCUCUGGGAGGCCAAGCUCCGGGGUGACCUUGUACACGGGAAUCUCCUGGAGUGAGGAUGUCCUCUUUUCUGAUACCCAUAGAACUGGCAUUUAAGGGGAUGCUUGUGCAGUAUAGAGAAGGAUGGAGCCUCAGAAAUAGCCCUUUUGGAUCAACCACGUCUCUAGUUUCUAUAAAUGGAAGCUUAACCUUUGCCCUGCAUGUGUAUGCCAGAUCCACCUUGUUCUGGACAACCCUGUGACGUGCCUGAGUCACCCAGCCUUGGCUCUUCCCUGCUCACUGCCUCCUCUCCCUCAGGGAGGAGUCAUCCUCCCAGGAGUGUGCUUUUCAAAUAAAAACCAACCAAUCCAGAGUCCACUCCCAACCACCUUACUAACUGGGCUGUCACACUCCAGGCCACCGUCCUCCUGCCCUAAUCACCACAGGGCCAGGUACCAGACAACCAAGGACAGCACUUGUGCCCCAGAGCCUGUGGAGAUUACCUACUCACCCUGCCUCGCCCAUUCCUUCCUGCAGAAAACACGACUCAGACUCUUGCCCACAGUUUCCCAGCCCCUCUGCUUUGUGACUGAUGCUGGUGCCUCCCCAUGUGGCCCCACCAUGGUGUCAUGGGGGCUCCCUCUCUUGGGACCUGUGGGCAUGAUAAGUUAUGUUUUCAAUAGCAGUCAUCUCCUGAUCUUAGCCUCAUCAUACCUAAAGAAUAAUAAAACCCAUUGAAACACCUUCAACUCAAUGGGACAGACCGGCCCAUUGGAAUCAUUCAGACUUGCAGACAUUUUGUUCAUGCUGUGCGCACUUCUUCCAGGUUCUCUGUUCCGCAGUGGAAAGAGCAGGGCUGAAAUUCACACACCUGACUUCAAAUCCUCCUUCUAUCACUUACUAGCA
rnacentral:lncRNA from 1 species